UACGUAGGAUGCAAGCGUUGUCCGGAUUUACUGGGCGUAAAGCGCGCGCAGGCGGCACUCUAAGUACGUCGUGAAAUCUCUCGGCUCAACCGGGAGGGUGCGAAGUAGACUAGGGAGCUAGAGGUCGGUAGAGGGGGGUGGAAUUGCUGGUGUAGCGGUGAAAUGCGUAGAGAUCAGCAGGAACACCCGUGGCGAAGGCGGCCCCCUGGGCCGUACCUGACGCUGAGGCGCGAAGGCUAGGGGAGCGAACGGG
rnacentral:rRNA from 2 species